UCCUGGUUCCUCUUUCUGCCUCCUUUCCCCAUCCUGGGGUUCACUGGCCUCCCAUUUUCUCCCCACUUCAAAGGGGUUACCUCUGAUGAAAGGACUCAGACCAGCAACAAAGCUACUAAGUUCAGAUUUGCUUGUUUUUGCCAAAGAUAAAUGUUUCAGUUACUAAAAUUUUCACUUCGUCCCUUCCACAGAAUGGCCUUGUAUCAAGAACUGGAAUAUCAUGGUCUAACGGUCACAGCUCUCUGGCCCCCGGGGCGGCGCACUGUCUGUCUGAGAGGCGGCGGUGAAGAGGACACGAGCUGAUCCCUGCUGGGCGUGGGCCUGGCGAGUAGUCAUUGCUGAACGAUGAGCAGCAUCCUCAGCAUUUGUGUGGCAGCGCCCAGCAGCCGGAUUCCCUGCUGGUGUCCCCUCACUGCAGCCGCCUUUCGACUGCUUGGCCCAGAACAGCCUGGUGCACACAUCACGACGAGGAGACGGAGGCUGGGUCCCCCCCUUGCUGUUCAGUGGGUCUGAUGAGGGACGGGCGGUCCUGCCGGCCUUGUGACAAGCCACCCAGCUUUUCAGAGGGGCGCGUGCUGAGCCCUGUGCGGGCUUCCUCCUGUCCUGCGGGGACGGCAGGGUCUGGUCUGAUGGCUGGGCUCUCCUCAGGCCGCGUCUAGGGCUGGGACCAGGUCGUCUGGGCCAUGGGGAGCUCUAAAUCUGGGCCACAAGUUGACAGCUAAAAUCAGGUUGGGUGGAAAGAGGAAUGCGAGCAGGCUGUGCGAUGGGAAGCCAAGAGCAGACGUGAACUUCGGGGGUCUGGACGCUGGGGGGCGAGAGGAGGGCUGCCGACGGAGGGAAGGAAAGCUGCCCCGAUACACUGAUGUCUGUGAGGACGUCCUUUUGGAUCUCCUGUGUGGCCUGUUUAAAGGGCCCAGAAUGUUCUAGAAGGCUCCUCUGAGGUGAAGCCAGAGUCCCCUUACUUUGGGCCUGAGUUGAGUAUUGGCUGCCGGAACUCAUCCAAAAUCUCCUCCUCAGGAGGAACGUUACCAGCUGAAGGAUUCUGGAUAGAAACGGCAGGACUCUCAGACCCACAGGCUGGACCCACAGGCUGGACCCUCACCAGAAUGACUAACUGCCUUUGGCUGAAGGUAUAAGCACCAGAAGAGGAAGGAAUCAUGAACUCUUUCCCUCCUACAGUCAUGACUGAACUAACUGGAAACGCUCCUGCACUUGCCACAAAGGGCUGAGCUCGACCCGGAAUUGCCUUAGAAGAAAUACUACUAUACUAACCAAGCCCGACAUGAGCUCCCUGAGCCCUGAGUGACCAGUAUUUACAAAGAAGUUCUAACUCUCAUUCCCCAUUUGUUAUCCCUGCCAUUUUAUCCCCUGUAAUGCUCUCCAGGGACCAAUUAAUAGUAUCUGAAUGGAAGCAUGACUCAUAAGUGGGAAUGAGCUUGUUCUGGAUCGGAUUUCAGUGUAUAUGCCCAUGUACACACGUGUGUGUGUGUGUGUGUGUUCACAUGUGUGCAUGCAAGCAGCAUUACAUCAGAGGGAAAAUUGCCUGUACCCAGAAUUUCAGGUCUCAUCAAGAAAGCCAGCCUCCCACCCAGUCCAGGAGUAAAUCCUCUGGGACUAUGGAUUCCAGAUGGGAGGUAAAGUGAACUCCUCAUGUGAAGGAGGGAGAUAGGAGAACGAUUCUCAGGCCCAAAUGCCAUGAAGUUAGGACAAAAUCCAAGACAAAACAGUAGAAUCCUUAAAGUAAAGGAGAAGAGAAUUUAGAUUCAUCAAAGGAAUAUUCUGUACCAGAUAUUUAACGUUUGUUACCUUUCAAUAAUCCUGUAAAGUAGAUAUUUGUGAUCUCAUUUACUAGACUAAGACGUUGCGAACCAGAGAGGUGAUUGCUCUGUAUCGGUUGGCAGAUAGGUGGCAGAGCGGGGGUCUGAAUGAUCAGAAGGCUGCUGCCAAAGCUAGUGUUUUUCUCCGAAUGUCAAGGACUUUCUCAAGAUAGCAACUGAUUUCUCAAGCGGUGUCUGGGUUCACUAUAAACUGCUUGACUUACUCCUCAUGAAAGGAGGAAGCAGGUAGAUGAAAUCAAACUGUCUUUGUUGAGGACAGAUGCCGAUUCUAGGUUUCUAUGUCUCAAGAAAAGGCUGGACCCUCCCUGCCAGUACUAGUUCCCACAGUGCCCUUGUGAAGGGGACCCUCUCAGUCUGGGAGCUGCAGCAUCAUUAGUGGGUUCACAUACAGAGUACCAGCCAGGACCCACUGGGAGGUAGAUGGAGCAUUCAAAGGGAUAAGGAAGGAGACUUGAACAAAUACACAAUUGAUAGAGUCCUGGGUGGGGUGGAGGACAAACAAGGGCUGGAGAAGCACCCAGGGGAAGCAGUUAGCACUCUGGGCCCAGAAGGGCAAGCAGAGAGGUGUUUCCUCAAACCCAAGAACUGGAGCCUGGCAGAAGGGCCCCUAGGCAAGAGCUGUGAGCAUGAGAAGAAGCACGCAGCUCCUACCAGAACAGGAGGGGGAGCAGGAAUGGUCCCCUACUUCUCUCCUACCCCCCUGAUCCUGUGCCUUGGCAAACGGGACUCCCCAGCAUAUGCCCCAAACCUGUAGACCAGUGCAUGGCACGUGGUAAGGGCUAAGUAAGUGCUGCCAUUAUCCUAGUCACUGGUAACCGGGCUCUCCUGCCUGGGGCUUGCCUGAGGCUGUUUCUAUAGAGAAUGUAUAGUGAGCUUGUCUCUCUGCUGAAAACCAGUAAUACGUUAGUUUGAAGAAGUAGAAUUUGUUAUAUGAGC